rnacentral:rRNA from 1 species
GACGAACGCUGGCGGCGUGCCUAAUACAUGCAAGUUGAGCGAUGAAGAUUGGUGCUUGCCCCAAUUUGAAGAGCAGCGAACGGGUGAGUAACGCGUGGGGAAUCUGCCUUUGAGCGGGGGACAACAUUUGGAAACGAAUGCUAAUACCGCAUAAUAACUUUAAACAUAAGUUUUAAGUUUGAAAGAUGCAAUUGCAUCACUCAAAGAUGAUCCCGCGUUGUAUUAACUAGUUGGUGAGGUAAAGGCUCACCAAGGCGAUGAUACAUAGCCGACCUGAGAGGGUGAUCGGCCACAUUGGGACUGAGACACGGCCCAAACUCCUACGGGAGGCAGCAGUAGGGAAUCUUCGGCAAUGGACGAAAGUCUGACCGAGCAACGCCGCGUGAGUGAAGAAGGGUGUCGGAUCGUAAAACUCUGUUGGUAGAGAAGAACGUUGGUGAGAGUGGAAAGCUCAUCAAGUGACGGUAACUACCCAGAAAGGGACGGCUAACUACGUG